GGUUUUCAAUAGCACUUUAUGCAAGUUAGGCAUCGGUGAUCCCACGACCUAACUUGAGGGGGAGUAUUGAAAAGCAGUUUAUGCAGUUACAUUAAUAGGUAGUUAUCUUUUGUUAAGCAGUUAUCAUUUGUCAAUUAAUUCUCAUGUAUAUAUAUUAAACAUACAUUUCCUGUAAUAGAAUAAUAAAAAGAACUGUAUUUUUCAGAAACAAAAAAAACCUGAAUUAUCAUCGAAUCUUCAACUUCAUCCUCUAAUUGCCGGUUUCUCUUCCCUUCCACACUGUCUGCCUUUACACCCAAAACUCUUGGUUAAUACCCAAGAGAAAACGAAAUUCUUCUGCCUCCAUCAGCUCUCAUCUUCUCUCCUCAUUAAAUUUUGGUUGCUCAAUGAACCUCUCCAUAUUUUCUGGGCGGCUAUCUCACAGCUCAAGAAUGGCGCUUCUUCCAGCCCCUUAUAUUUAUUGCACCAUCAAUUGCUCUUAAUUGCUACCUAACAUUCCCCUUUAUCUAUUCUCUUUCUCUAAUUUGUUUGUCUAGAUUUUAGGUUUACUUCUCAAAUUGGUAGGGUUUGCUUUUGAAAUUGGUACAAAUUUGUGGGUUUCUCUUAUGAGCAUGGUUAGUCAAGUUAUUCCGGUGACCUCCACAUUACCGAGUGUUAUCUUCAACAAGGAACGAAAGUUGUCACCUGGUAAGUUUUUAUUGUUUUAGUUGGUUGUUAUUGACUUGUAGGGUUCAUUAGAGUUUUGACUUUUGAUGAUUUUAUGGCUUUCUUUUGCUAUUGGUAAUGUAAUUGUGGGUUUUUGUAUUAAGAUCAGAAUAAGAAAUUUCAGAUUGUUGAACAUAUAUCCGAUGAAGAAGACAUGGAGGAUGCUGAAAUUACAUUGGUUGAGCUUUUGAAGCUACAAGAUUUGGGUAUUUUGCUACCAAUGGUGCAAAUGUUAUGCGGAUGAGCACCAACAUCUUAUGUUGUGCAGUAUUUAUUUAAUACUUGAAUCUGAUGAUUCAUCCAAGGGACAGAUGAAUACUACUCCGGACGAAACCUGUGACUAUCAUAUACUAUUCGGUGGCGAACCAUGAGUAUCGGAAUAAGCGUCUGGAGGGCCAUAUCCAACUACUUGUGUACUACUGAUGAUAUACUGGCCAACCAUAGCAAGACUCGGAAGUGUGUGGCUAAACCAUCACAUAUUUUCAUUGAUAGUUAAUAGUUAAUAGUUAAUAGUUAAUAGUUAAUACUGAUACCACUUCCAUAUUUUGGGCUCUAAUACAAUUCAAUGCAUGUAUCAUCUGAAAUCAGAGUGUUUCCCUUUAAUGAUUCUUCUUACAGUUGUAUAUCCUACUAUCAGAUUGUGUUAUACGCAUAAAUACAGACAGUAUAUCAUCAUCUUUCUGACAACACUAACAAUGAUUUAGUAUUCGUGCA